AUUGAACGCUGGCGGCAUGCUUUACACAUGCAAGUCGAACGGCAGCACAGGGAGCUUGCUCCUGGGUGGCGAGUGGCGAACGGGUGAGUAAUGUAUCGGAACGUGCCUGGUGGUGGGGGAUAACUACUCGAAAGAGUGGCUAAUACCGCAUGAGAUCUUUGGAUGAAAGCGGGGGACCUUCGGGCCUCGUGCUACUGGAGCGGCCGAUAUCAGAUUAGGUUGUUGGUGGGGUAAAGGCCUACCAAGCCUGCGAUCUGUAGCUGGUCUGAGAGGACGACCAGCCACACUGGGACUGAGACACGGCCCAGACUCCUACGGGAGGCAGCAGUGGGGAAUUUUGGACAAUGGGCGCAAGCCUGAUCCAGCAAUGCCGCGUGCAGGACGAAGGCCUUCGGGUUGUAAACUGCUUUUGUACAGAACGAAAAGUCUCUGGCUAAUAUCUAGAGAUCAUGACGGUACUGUAAGAAUAGGCACCGGCUAACUACGUG
rnacentral:rRNA from 1 species